GACGAGGGGUCCUAGCGUUGUUCGGAAUCACUGGGCGUAAAGCGUUUGUAGGCGGCCCUAUAAGUCGGGUGUGAAAUCCCACGGCUCAACCGUGGAAGUGCAUUCGAAACUGUAGGGCUUGAAUAUGGAAGAGGAGAGUAGAAUUCCUGGUGUAGUGGUGAAAUACGUAGAUAUCAGGAGGAAUACCGGUGGCGAAGGCGGCUCUCUGGUCCAAUAUUGACGCUGAGAAACGAAAGUGCGGGGAUCAAACAGG
rnacentral:rRNA from 1 species